GUAACAAGGUUUCCGUAGGUGAACCUGCGGAAGGAUCAUUACUGAUUUGCUUAAUUGCACCACAUGUGUUUUUCUUUGAAACAAACUUGCUUUGGCGGUGGGCCCAGCCUGCCGCCAGAGGUCUAAACUUACAACCAAUUUUUUAUCAACUUGUCACACCAGAUUAUUACUAAUAGUCAAAACUUUCAACAACGGAUCUCUUGGUUCUCGCAUCGAUGAAGAACGCAGCGAAAUGCGAUACGUAAUAUGAAUUGCAGAUAUUCGUGAAUCAUCGAAUCUUUGAACGCACAUUGCGCCCUCUGGUAUUCCGGAGGGCAUGCCUGUUUGAGCGUCGUUUCUCCCUCAAACCGCUGGGUUUGGUGUUGAGCAAUACGACUUGGGUUUGCUUGAAAGACGGUAGUGGUAAGGCGGGAUCGCUUUGACAAUGGCUUAGGUCUAACCAAAAACAUUGCUUGCGGCGGUAACGUCUACUACGUAUAUCUUCAAACUUUGACCUCAAAUCAGGUAGGACUACCCGCUGAACUUAAGCAUAUC
rnacentral:misc_RNA from 1 species